ensembl:lncRNA
UUGGAAUGGCACCUUCAGCGCCAUUAGGGCCUCUCACAUAAAUAAGUAUAUCACAAUAUUUUGAAAACUGGAUUUUGCAUUGACAAAAUGUAAUGGCUUCCAAACAGCUGUUACGGUCUAUCAUGUAAAUCCUUCUUAGUUUGUGGGUUAUUGACCCAACGGACUCUAAUGGGAGUUCUUUGGAGAUGUUCAAUCUAUUGUAUCUGCCCAGCUGCAUCUGAUGCGCCUGUUAUUUGCUCUUUGAAGCUUUAGGGGCUAUUAUGUGGGUCCAGCUGCUGACAGUACAAUAUAAAAUUUCUUAUAAUCUAUAAGAUACAUAAAUACUAGAGUUAACUCCUCUUCUCUGUUUUAGUGUGUAUUUUUGUGGCUUUUUCCUCCAGCCACCAUCAUUACUGCUUUACCAGGUACUUUGGCAGAAAAGGUGGAAAGAAAGGCAGCAGCAGUUACUGAUUUUACUAAGCCUUCAGCGUGGGGAAGCAUGAAACAGGAGGAGCCCUCCAUAGAGACAAGGGUGAACUAAACCACAAGGCUGCUCCUUGUCUGUCUCUAGCUGCAUGUCCACAAUCAGCACCAAAAGCCAAUCACUUGUAUUGUCACGUAGCAUUACAGAAGUGGAUCGGCUACUCUAGAACUGGAGGUGAAUAAGUUACAAAGAGGAGCUGGGGUGACCCCCAACUGCUCCCCCCAGAACAGGAGCUUGGGGUACCGUAUCCCAGAGACUGCACUGCAGGAGCUGCCCCAUAUCCUUCCUGAUUCUAUUCUGGGUUCGCGAUGAGAAGUAAUCAUAACUUUUGUAUGAAGAAAUCUAAUGAUGUUUUUAAAAAUAAUUAACUGGAAUAAAUAUUGUUAAAAAUAUAUAUUUUUUUCUUGAGGUUACUUAUAGAGGCUUCUCUCUGCUUGAUACAGCCUAAAUUCUAGAUCUUGGGUUGGAAUGUCAUAAAUACACAUAUUUUGAUAUGGUUCAUACCUAUGCCAGUUAUGCUAAAGGAGGCUUUAUUUUCUUCUGAAUAUUACAUUCAUUUUAAAGACAGAAAAAAAAAAAAAAGAAAGAAAGAAAAAAAAACCCUAGAGAAAUCACAGACGACUUCUCAUUCAUGAGGCAUGAUUUACUGUGGCUGUAAUUCUUGACCUACAAUUUCUGCAGACGUUUUAGGGCCAUCAAACAACAGAAAAAGCAGUACUGCACUUCUAGGGAAGAAUUUGCCUUCCUCAUUUAAAAGAAAAAAAUAAAGAUCAAAACACAAAUCACCCUACUGCAUAAGAAAUCCAAUUAAAUUAACAAAUAUAAUCUGUCUUAAAAAAAUACAUUCAAACAUUUAAUUUGCAUAGAAACAGGCAGCGCUAUUCAUUUUGAUAGAAGAAAAUCAAAAGUCAUAGCUAGCAGCCACUCUUCUAAACCAGAUUUUGAGCACAACCCCCCAGGGCUGUUUCUACCAAUUUUCCAAUAAAUCAUGUAAUGACUUUUAGAAAAGACAGAUAUUUAAUUCUUGAAUUAGAACUAUAGGACCAUAACCAAAGACUGACAGCCCUCUUUUUCUGCCAUACUCCCAUACAAACCCCUUCAGCUGAUUGGCUGUGAAAUAAUGCAAUAAUUAGGCAAUUAGAUAUUUGGGAGAAUGUAGAAUGAAGCACUGAAUGCUGACCUUUAUUACAUAGAUCAAAGGACAUUGGAAGAACGACCAAAUAUAUCUUGUUUACAAGCUCUCACCCAUUUUUUUCCAACAUUUCAAAAUUAAGAAUUAGGGGAUCAGACCUCCAAAGCUAUGCAUAAAUUUGCAGUUGGUAUUAGAGACAUAGGAGAAAAGCCACUUUCUUUAUGCAUAGAAAGUGCCAUCACUUAGUUACUAGGGUGUUUUUUCUUAAAUACAUUGAUUUAUACCUAUAGCAGUUACUGAGUAGCAACAAGAUAAAAAUUAUAAGCUCCUUGUUCCCAAAUAUCUUCUCCAUUUCCAUUAAUUGUAAUUAACACUUGGAAGAGCAAGGAAAAAUGGAAGUAAAUCACAAACUAAAUCAACCCAUUCCAGAAAUUCCCUCUUCACUUAGUCAUCAGUAGAAGGAGAAUCUCUGGAGAUGGAAAUCUGUGAAGGAGAUUUAAUUUUUUUUCUUAAUUGUGAAAAAUAUGAAGUUUCAGUCACGCAUGUCAGCCAUAGGAAGAGUCAAAGAGUUGAUAUAUUGACCAAAACCCUCUACCCUGUGUUGUUUUACCUUCAACUCACCAGGCGGCUGGAAAUUGCUGUGAAUGCAGAUGUUGUACCAGGCACUCAAAUUGCCUACAAUGUGUCUGUUUUUACACUUUGAGAGUCAGGCUUUCUUAUUCCACUUCUUGCAUUGGCAUAAAAUAGGAAGGAGGAAAAAUGCCUUGAGAAGCACUUGCUGAACAGUGAGCUUUGGAGAAUACAAGGGUAUGGUUGCAGAGAAGGAUCCUUCCCGUGUUCAAAGAAGCACAUUUUGUUAUUGGAGUUCAUUAAGGAAGGAAAAAAACUGGGUUUUUAAGAGGAAUUUAGCUAGGUCUUGAUUGCAGAGUCAUUCUUCUGGAGCACCUGCUGAUGGAAAAUUCAGUGCAUUGCAUAUGUUUACAUGGGCAUAUCAUCAUGGGGCACGUGGAUGUGGAAAAUGCAUUCAGAUAUACUGCCUCUGUAGAAUUCCCAUUGGUAUCAAACUUGGACGGUUACCUGUAGUAAAACUUGGGCAUAAGUGUACUAAGCAAGAGUGUAAGCAUGCCAGGGGAAUAUUCACAUGGUGGCUCUCUGAGCUGGCAAAGGAGAAAAGAAAAGCACAUCACUGCAAAACUCUUGCUUUCCUCAUUUACAUGUUUAACCUUUAUCUUGACUGGAAGGAGAAGAGUUUGUACGUUUUUCCAUCUGUUGGUCACAAGUUUCAGACUGUUCUUGGUGGUCCUUUAUUUGUCACUGGGGACAAAGAGCUGGAUAGAAGGUGCAAGAGUUUACCCUUUCGAGGCAGCUCCUUUGGACCAAAUCUAAAUGCAGAGAAACUCUUCAGUCUGUAAAAGGUACAGCAUAAAAUGUUUAUAGCUUGCACAGCUGGAAUCCACGAACAUGGAAGUUCCCUCUGAGCAAGAUCUAUAGCAAGACACAAAGACUCUUUAAAGCAUAAUUUGUGAGCGAACAUAAUUCUCUAAUUUAAGUUGCAUAUUGCCUCUUUGGGGUUUUAAAAGAAUAUUCUGGCUCUAAAAAGCAAGAAAUGUGAUUAUUUGUGCAUACUCCUUGGAAGUCAAUGGGAAAGACUACAGAAGUAGAAGAUGUGCUCAAAGUAUAAAGUCUUUAAAAUAAAAAUCUGGUGGCAGAAAUGACUCAUAGGCCUCACCCCCAUAUAAAAAUAGAGUUCUGUUUGCAAUUACAGGAACAUCUUACUUGAAGCUGGUGCUGCAGGAGCCCCAGCAGUGCCACAUUGAAAAAUUAAAUGCCCUUUGCGGUGGGGAAUUUUCACAGGCUUAUUUUGGCUAGAGAUCAUCUUGGAUGCAAAAUAAAAAUAUUCAAAUGUAAUUUGUUUAAAUUUGAAUGUCUGCUGGUUUUUUUUUUUUCUGUUGAACAAGUAGUUGAGCACAGUCGGUGGCAAUCAUGUGGCCAAUUACAAUUUGAGGAUUUCACUGGGAGAUGUCACAUUCUAUUGAUUGCCCACCAAGGCUUUUAAAAUAAGUGUACUUUAAAGUCUAGACAUCUUAGAAAAUAUUUAUGAGCCUUUUACAUAUAUAUGAACAUUCAUAUGACGAUACUAUACAAAUGUUAUAUAUUGUAUAUCUCUCAACUCAAAAUAGACCUUCUGAAGUCCCUGUAUCCAAAAUACUAAUGGAAAGUGAAACUUUUCUGCUGAUUUCACUAGGAUUUGAUCUGGGUUCUUUAACACUGUUAGGACAAGGGAAAAUUUAAGUAACAACUCUGACUGUUCAAACUUGACCUAAAGCCAUCUUGCUGUUUUCAUGCACACCGGUGAAUUCCGUCCCUGUCUCCUGUGUAUGUAGCCCAUCUAGAGGUCAAAGAACUUCUGUGCAUCUUUUGUUCUCACAUCACAUUCUGUUUUAAUGUCUGUGUCGCCUGAUAAGUCAUUUGAAAAUAAUAUAUUGAUCAGAUUGAACUGCUUGUUCGCUUAGACUCAUACUACAGGACAAAAUGAGUGCAAGCUGUACAUGAAAAAAACUCACAAAUGUUAGCUAUUGCACCUGAGUAUUGAUCCUGGAGAUCUGAGCUACCUAAUCUCAAUAGUUAUAGCAGCACAUCACGCUUAAUGACAGUGACUUUUCAGGACAGUUCUUGCUGUCCUGCCAUUUCCCCCACUGGCCCAGUCAUUGCACACUGCCACCACAGCCAGGUCAGAAAUACCACUUAUCCCUCUCCUUGGUCUGUAGGCAGAGGCAGAAGAGAAGUCUGCAAGCAAGUUCUAAGGAGUGAAGUUUUCUCAUUGCUUUAGUUGAGAGUCAACAUGUAGGUUUGCACCCAAAUAUGUAGAUAGCAUGAAACUAAGAAUCUCUAUGAAGAAGUUAAAGCCAUAUAUCUCUGUAUCAGCUGUAGACAGAGGCUGUGCUUGUUACCAACAUAUCCUUUACUUUCAUUUGUAAUUAGUAUCAGGAACACAGCAUAGUGAAAUAAAUCAAGUGAACAAGCCAAGAGAAGGCAUGCCUGGUUUAAACUCAGCCUGCCAUAAAAGCUCUUUUCCAGCACAGUACAAACAGCAAAAUUAUUGAUUAACUUGUAUUACUCCACAAGAAGAACAAAUUAUUGCUGAUUAAAGCCAUGCAGGUGAUAAAAGAACUUAACCAACAAAAGCUGCCAGCUUUAGGUUGGGAAACAGCUGUGUCCCUAAUUAUGCAGCCUGAUUUAUACUCUAUUAAAUCAGUAUAUAAGUAACCCAUUUCUCUGAAAGCAUUUAAACCUCUUAUAUUCCACCAAACACAGCGAUUUUAUUUGAAAUAAAUGUAUCCAGCUCUUUUGGGAACAUAUGGUAUAUUUCUCUCUUAUUAAUAAUUCAGUUCAAAUGAGCAAAAAUUAGUUGGUGCAGUUACAGCUGAUUUUGUCCUGAAAAGAUCUGCAUUAAUUUUAGACGUUUUGUAAAUUGGGCUAUUAAAUAAAAGCAUUAUAUGUGAAUUACCCUUUAAAUUUUAAGCAAGUUGGUAGUUUAAUGGUAUUUUCUCGUCAGAUUCAUUUUCAAUCUCUAAAAAAAUUAUAGCCAUUACAGUAAGACAAAUUUUUGAAACCCGCUACUUCCAUCCAAUUACAUAUUGUACUAAUAAGUAAACUAGAAAAGUUUUGUGCUUCAUUUCCUCUACUUCGUCUUUUCCAUCAGGUGACAACUGCUUUCUCACUUCCACCUGUGCCAAUGAAAUCAGGCGCUGACCUCACCUCUCCUCACCUGGAUGUCCACCUCCAGCCUUCGGCUCCAACCUCUGAGCCUUCUGCUUUGUAUCCUUCUGCCCCUCUUCACAUCACUCCUGCAAUGUGUGUGUGGCUCUGGGCUGGCAGUGCUACACGUCAGGGAAUCGGGAGGAAAACAGGAACCUAAGCAGACAUUGGAUGACUUAGUAACAGCCACAGCACAUUGCUGUUUCCAUGUGUUUUGGAUCCUCUCUGAACAAGAUGCUUCUGAAGCUUCCCAUUUCUGGGCAUGGAGUGUAAUGAUGCAACGUGAUGGAAAAUACAGCAAUAGUAGCACGGUGGCAC